rnacentral:rRNA from 1 species
AUUGAACGCUAGCGGGAUGCCUUACACAUGCAAGUCGAACGGCGUGGCGAACGGGUGCGUAAUGUAUCGGACCGUGCCCAGUAGCGGGGGAUAACUAUGCGAAAGCGUAGCUAAUACCGCAUACUAUUGGAGCGGCCGAUACCGGAUUAGCUAGGUGGAGGGGUAACGGCGCACAAAGGCGACGAUCCUUAGCUGGUUUGAGAGGACGCCCAGCCACACUGUGACUGAGACACGGCCCAGACUCCUACGGGAGGCAGCAGUGGGGAAUUUUGGACAAUGGGGGAAACCCUGAUCCAGCCAUGCCGCGUGUGCGAAGAAGGCCUUCGGGUUGUAAAGCACUUUUGGCGGGGAAGCGGUACCUGCAGAAUAAGCACCGGCUAACUACGUGCCAGCAGCCGCGGUAAUAC